ACGCUGGCGGCAGGCCUAACACAUGCAAGUCGAGCGGUAGAGAGAAGCUUGCUUCUCUUGAGAGCGGCGGACGGGUGAGUAAUGCCUAGGAAUCUGCCUGGUAGUGGGGGAUAACGUCCGGAAACGGACGCUAAUACCGCAUACGUCCUACGGGAGAAAGCAGGGGACCUUCGGGCCUUGCGCUAUCAGAUGAGCCUAGGUCGGAUUAGCUAGUUGGUGGGGUAAUGGCUCACCAAGGCGACGAUCCGUAACUGGUCUGAGGGGAUGAUCAGUCACACUGGAACUGAGACACGGUCCAGACUCCUACGGGAGGCAGCAGUGGGGAAUAUUGGACAAUGGGCGAAAGCCUGAUCCAGCCAUGCCGCGUGUGUGAAGAAGGUCUUCGGAUUGUAAAGCACUUUAAGUUGGGAGGAAGGGCAGUAAAUUAAUACUUUGCUGUUUUGACGUUACCGACAGAAUAAGCACCGGCUAACUCUGUGCCAGCAGCCGCGGUAAUACAGAGGGUGCAAGCGUUAAUCGGAAUUACUGGGCGUAAAGCGCGCGUAGGUGGUUCGUUAAGUUGGAUGUGAAAUCCCCGGGCUCAACCUGGGAACUCCAUUCAAAACUGACGAGCUAGAGUAUGGUAGAGGGUGGUGGAAUUUCCUGUGUAGCGGUGAAAUGCGUAGAUAUAGGAAGGAACACCAGUGGCGAAGGCGACCACCUGGACUGAUACUGACACUGAGGUGCGAAAGCGUGGGGAGCAAAC
rnacentral:rRNA from 1 species